rnacentral:lncRNA from 1 species
UUUGCUUCAUUUCAACAUUGUGUUAAAUACACCAAGGCCUUCUUCACUAAGUUCUUUAAAUUUUUCCUUUUGUUGAAGCUUGUAUGUUGAAACUUUGUGAGUGAAACAUGUAGGUUGAGGUAGUGCUCCCUUAAUUUCCCGAGUGAGGAAAACUUCUCAGUUGGAGACUUGAAAAAAUCCAAGUCACUGAGUGGUCGUGAGACUUCCGAGUAUCAAGGUGCAAUAGCACAUGGUAGGAGUCCCCCAAGUCUCCGGUCAAGGGAGGUGACGAAAGAGGUGUCUUGCUAGUAGCCAAGUUUCCAAAGUAACAAAACUUCACCAUUUUCCUUUCUAAGUGGUAGCCUAAAACUCCUCAUUCAUAUAUAUUUGUUAUGAAAGUUGUUAGGCCCAAAGAAGAGGAGGCUUAGGCAAUUUUAUUUUUAUUUUUUUUAUUUUUUGAAU